rnacentral:lncRNA from 1 species
GAAGGCCUUUCGCACAGUCCCAAGGCCAGGAAGACGGAGGACGAGAACCCAGGAGCCCCCACGUCACCCCUGGGCUGUGCCUCUGCCCUCCAAGGCAUCAGUGACUUGAACAGCCUUCAGGCCUAGGUAGGGACAAGAAAGGACCUGCCCGUGUCACUCUGGAAGCCAGCCCACCGCAGGCCAGUUCUUACAGCCAGUCCAAGGUGCUUGGCAAUGUGGACCUUCUCAAGAAGAAAUUCUGCUUGAAUGGACCAUCUCCAAGCGGGGCGGGUCCCCGGGAACCAACAAGGAACAGGCUUGCUGUGGACCAGCACUGCUCGAUGGUAAGACUCAGGCCCACGGAGAGCAGGAAUGUUCCUGGACGCGUCCCAAAUCCAGUUCGGUGCCAGGAACUGGGAACCGUGUGUCCGGAGCUAGCGGGAACUGCACCUCUGAGCAAGAUGCUCCAGGCCGGAGGAGGUCUCCGGUCACGGGUGAUGGAGCUGAAUCCGCCCCGUUCCGUCCCCUCAUCUCGGCCACGCCCCCAGACAGCCUGCGACAGCGUUUACUUCGCAGCCGCGGGCCAGACACAAAUCUCCGGGUCUCACUUGCUCUCAAGGAUCCCAGGGAGCUCCCAGGAGAGCCUGGGCUUCCCUGAUCUUUGUGCUGCCACCCGUUUGGGUUCUCUCCGUGUUUGCCUAAUGAGUCCUCUCAUGCCUGUUGCUUUGUUUCCAGGGUUCAAGGCGUCCUUGUCUGCUAAACAGGAAGGCAUGUGUGAUUCUGGCCUCCAGGUGGCUGAGUCCCAGCUAAGAGCCCAGGCAGCCCUGGGCUGUACAGAACCGACAGCAGGGGGUCCUCUGCUUCCUGAAAUGCACAUCUGCCCCAUAGCCAGCCUCCCGCCUUAGGAAAAGCAGCCGGGCUUGUCCCCCAAGCCCACGCAGGCUGUGUCUGUUACUUGCAUCUGGGAUGCUGUGGGGAGUGUGGUACCCAAAGGGUAAGGAGUGUCACCUCGCCUUGGCCAUCUGUGACUCUGGAACUUAAGGACUUCUGUGUCAGAAGAAAGGCACCCCUCUUUGGAACAUUUGCACCUGCAGAACCAGACCCGGGCCCCAGGAUCACGGAAUCCACCGGGGUCAGUAUGAAAUGACCACAGACCUUGUGACCACCAUGGGCCAGCUCCAAUAUGACAAGGCCAUCUGCUGAUGGGCCACAGGCGUUGCCUGCAGAAGGACGCCCAAGGCAACUUGGGUGGAGACAUGGCCAGCUGUGUGACAUUAUAGGGUUUCCAGACCUGGGACCAGGAAGCAGCCACAAGGCUUCCUUCCCUCCAACCAAAGUUCUCAGGGUGCAAAAGGCAGCCUCGCCAACCGGCCUGGCCAAUCCCAUGCUGAGCCCAGCCCUGUGCCUGAUCCGUCAUCAAGGGCAACCCAGCUGGUGUUUCAGGAAGAACCCAGCCUUCGAAGUUGACUUCAAAUUGCUAUGAAUCACCCUAUCUGAUGCAAAUGUGGGCUUGGGUAGACUCGGAGAUAGCUGAUUGCCUCAGAUUAAUCCACAGUUGCCUCGGCAGGUAAUUUACUUCUGGGAGUUUCAGGGACUAAGAAGAACAAGGCAUUUGCAUAAAUAGACUAAACUCAGAGUCCAGGCAGCCAGCCGGUUCUCUGACUGGCAGCUCCUGGUGACAGAGGACUCCCAUGAUUCUGGACCCCACCCACCUAUCCAUAUCCCAUACGUGAAAAGCAUCCUUGAAGUCCGGCCAUGGUCCCCAGCCACUGCCCCUGAUAAGUGGGUGCUCCACUGCAGUGCCCCUCAGCAGGUGGUCUGUCUCUCCACAUUUCUGUGACUUUUGCUGCAACCAAAUUCUUUCUUGCCCUGGGUAGCGAUCCACCAUCAUGGCUCCAGUCACCCUCCAGGUCAACUGGCUUUGUCCUGGGAUGUUCCUUCAUGCGUUUGAAGUGUUCCCUGGCUUCUCUGUGCAGACCAAAGCCCUGGACUUCCUAAUACAGCAGGGUUCUGGAACGCUCCACCAUCUGGUCAGCCUCCUCCAGGCUUCCUUUCCUUACAGCCUUCCUCUGAGAAUGUGGCAGCCAUACCAGGGGUGGGCUCACCAGUAUCACCUCCCUUGUUUCAGCCACUGUACUCCUAUUAAUAUGACCUGGCCUUUUGGACAGCUCAACCGCAUGGUGUCUCGUAAUAAGAUUUAGAGUUAACUAAACACGCCCUUUGUAAAAUGGGCACUGUUUGGCCUCCUUUCUCCCAGCUGGUAGCUGUUCUGUUGAGGUUUGGAGCUAAAUACUACACUUAAUAUUUAUUUCUGUGUAUGUGUGUGUGUGUGUGUGUGUAUUUGUAUUUUUACGCCCACACCCUUGGCAUAUGGAGGCUCCCAGGCUAGGGGCCGAGUCAGAGCUGUAGCUGCCAGCCUACACCACAGUCAUAGCAAUGCCAGAUCCUUAACCCACUGAGCGAGGCCAGGGAGCGAACCCUCAACGUCAUGGUUCCUCGUCAGAUUCGUUUCCACUGCACCACAACGGGAACUCCCUAUUCCUGUUAUAUAUUGUCGUUUUAAUUUGACCUGUCCUUCCGUCCCUGUCACUCACAGUAAUUUUCUGCCAUUUGGAAACCUGUUACAAACGCCUUCGGUGGCUUGACCCAGGUUAUUAUUUAAAAAGCAUUUUCUGUUAUGGAUGCGGUUAAUCAUUACAGCCAGCAGCUUGCUUUUCUCUACCUUUUUUCAAAAGGCAAUAUGCUAAUGGCUUUGCUAAAAUAUCUUAAAAUGUUAGCGCCGGAAGAGAUGCUAAGGACAUGUGCUUCAACUCCUUCAUUUGACGGAGGAGGGAACUGAGGCAGAGGGGUGCCAGGGACCAUGGAGACCCCCGAUCUGUGGCAGAGCCGGGCGCUGUGACUCAAAUAUUCCAACCCAGGUAUCCUUUGGAUAUUUGUGC